GGUGGUAGUAGUAGUGGUAAUAGUAGUUUAGUAAUAGUAGUAGUGGUGGUAGUAGUAGUAGUGGUAAUAGUAGUUUAGUAAUAGUAGUAGUGGUAGUAGUAGUAGUGGUAAUAGUAGUGUAGUAAUAGUAGUAGUGGUGGUAGUAGUAGUAGUGGUAGUAGUGUACUACUAGUAGUAGUGGUGGUUUAGUAAUAGUAGUAGUGGUGGUAUAGUAGUAGCAGUAGUAAUAGUAGUAGUAACCCCAUUAUUUUCCAUUAUUUUCAUAUUAUUCCACAAUAAACUAUAUGUACACCUUCGUUUUUUUUCCUCCCCCUCUCUUCAUCCGUUUAUUCAUCUCCCCUCUCCGCUAGUCAAGUAACUAUCCAGCAACUAUUAUAUUUAUCCCAUACUUUUCACACAAUAUCAUCAGUACAUGUUUUAAUAUUAUUCUAACUAGUAACCCUGUUCUUCAAAUACCCUAUUAUUAAUAAACAUUAUUAACCCCUUUUUCACUAUGGGUUAUGUGGCCAUGGUUGAUUAUUCAAUAAUGUGUGAUAAAGUGUACAGUAUUAUUACUUAAAGACUGUGAUUUAUUUAGAGACUACUGUGAAACUAACAGAGAAGGUGUGUAUUUAUAGACCGACACAUGCUUCCUGUUUAAAGGGUUAAUAUUCUGUUAAAAC
ensembl:lncRNA